GACGGAGGAUGCAAGCGUUAUCCGGAAUGAUUGGGCGUAAAGCGUCCGCAGGUGGCAGUUCAAGUCUGCUGUCAAAGACCGGGGCUUAACUUCGGAAAGGCAGUGGAAACUGAACAGCUAGAGUAUGGUAGGGGCAGAGGGAAUUCCUGGUGUAGCGGUGAAAUGCGCAGAUAUCAGGAGGAACACCAGCAGCGAAGGCGGCGCUCUGGGCUGGAACUGACGCUGAGGAGCGAAAGCGUGGGUAGCAAACAGG
rnacentral:rRNA from 1 species